rnacentral:tRNA from 1 species
GGAUAAAUAGUUUAAAUAAAACAUAACACUGAAAAUGUUAAAAAGGGAUGUCACCCUUUCUCCA